rnacentral:tRNA from 1 species
GGGGAUAUGGCUUAAUGGUAGAGCAUUCGACUGCAGAUCGAGCGAUUCCCGGUUCGAUUCCGGGUGUCCCCU